GGGUUGUGAGGUUAAGCGACUAAGCGUACACGGUGGAUGCCCUGGCAGUCAGAGGCGAUGAAGGACGUGCUAAUCUGCGAAAAGCGUCGGUAAGGUGAUAUGAACCGUUACAGCCGGCGAUGUCCGAAUGGGGAAACCCAGUGCAAUUCGUUGCACUAUCGUUAACUGAAUACAUAGGUUAACGAGGCGAACCGGGGGAACUGAAACAUCUAAGUACCCGAGGAAAAGAAAUCAACCGAGAUUCCCCCAGUAGCGGCGAGCGAACGGGGAGCAGCCCAGAGUCUGAAUCAGCUUGUGUGUUAGUGGAACGGUCUGGAAAGUCCGACGGUACAGGGUGAUAGUCCCGUACACCAAAAUGCACAGGCUGUGAACUCGAAGAGUAGGGCGGGACACGUGGUAUCCUGUCUGAAUAUGGGGGGACCAUCCUCCAAGGCUAAAUACUCCUGACUGACCGAUAGUGAACCAGUACCGUGAGGGAAAGGCGAAAAGAACCCCGGCGAGGGGAGUGAAAAAGAACCUGAAACCGUGUACGUACAAGCAGUGGGAGCACCUUCGGGUGUGACUGCGUACCUUUUGUAUAAUGGGUCAGCGACUUAUAUUCUGUAGCAAGGUUAACCGUAUAGGGGAGCCGCAGGGAAACCGAGUCUUAACUGGGCGUUAAGUUGCAGGGUAUAGACCCGAAACCCGGUGAUCUAGCCAUGGGCAGGUUGAAGGUUGGGUAACACUAACUGGAGGACCGAACCGACUAAUGUUGAAAAAUUAGCGGAUGACUUGUGGCUGGGGGUGAAAGGCCAAUCAAACCGGGAGAUAGCUGGUUCUCCCCGAAAGCUAUUUAGGUAGCGCCUCGUGAAUUCAUCUUCGGGGGUAGAGCACUGUUUCGGCUAGGGGGUCAUCCCGACUUACCAACCCGAUGCAAACUACGAAUACCGAAGAAUGUUAUCACGGGAGACACACGGCGGGUGCUAACGUCCGUCGUGAAGAGGGAAACAACCCAGACCGCCAGCUAAGGUCCCAAAGUCAUGGUUAAGUGGGAAACGAUGUGGGAAGGCACAGACAGCCAGGAUGUUGGCUUAGAAGCAGCCAUCAUUUAAAGAAAGCGUAAUAGCUCACUGGUCGAGUCGGCCUGCGCGGAAGAUGUAACGGGGCUAAACCAUGCACCGAAGCUGCGGCAGCGACACUAUGUGUUGUUGGGUAGGGGAGCGUUCUGUAAGCCUGCGAAGGUGACCUGUGAGGGUUGCUGGAGGUAUCAGAAGUGCGAAUGCUGACAUAAGUAACGAUAAAGCGGGUGAAAAGCCCGCUCGCCGGAAGACCAAGGGUUCCUGUCCAACGUUAAUCGGGGCAGGGUGAGUCGACCCCUAAGGCGAGGCCGAAAGGCGUAGUCGAUGGGAAACAGGUUAAUAUUCCUGUACUUGGUGUUACUGCGAAGGGGGGACGGAGAAGGCUAUGUUAGCCGGGCGACGGUUGUCCCGGUUUAAGCAUGUAGGCUGGUUAUCCAGGCAAAUCCGGAUAAUCAAGGCUGAGGUGUGAUGACGAGGCACUACGGUGCUGAAGUAACAAAUGCCCUGCUUCCAGGAAAAGCCUCUAAGCAUCAGGUAACAUCAAAUCGUACCCCAAACCGACACAGGUGGUCAGGUAGAGAAUACCAAGGCGCUUGAGAGAACUCGGGUGAAGGAACUAGGCAAAAUGGUGCCGUAACUUCGGGAGAAGGCACGCUGGUGUGUAGGUGAAGUCCCUGCGGAUGGAGCUGAGACCAGUCGAAGAUACCAGCUGGCUGCAACUGUUUAUUAAAAACACAGCACUGUGCAAACACGAAAGUGGACGUAUACGGUGUGACGCCUGCCCGGUGCCGGAAGGUUAAUUGAUGGGGUUAUCCGUAAGGAGAAGCUCUUGAUCGAAGCCCCGGUAAACGGCGGCCGUAACUAUAACGGUCCUAAGGUAGCGAAAUUCCUUGUCGGGUAAGUUCCGACCUGCACGAAUGGCGUAAUGAUGGCCAGGCUGUCUCCACCCGAGACUCAGUGAAAUUGAACUCGCUGUGAAGAUGCAGUGUACCCGCGGCAAGACGGAAAGACCCCGUGAACCUUUACUAUAGCUUGACACUGAACAUUGAGCCUUGAUGUGUAGGAUAGGUGGGAGGCUUUGAAGCGUGGACGCCAGUCUGCGUGGAGCCAACCUUGAAAUACCACCCUUUAAUGUUUGAUGUUCUAACGUUGGCCCCUGACCGGGGUUGCGGACAGUGUCUGGUGGGUAGUUUGACUGGGGCGGUCUCCUCCCAAAGCGUAACGGAGGAGCACGAAGGUUAGCUAAUCCUGGUCGGACAUCAGGAGGUUAGUGCAAUGGCAUAAGCUAGCUUGACUGCGAGCGUGACGGCGCGAGCAGGUGCGAAAGCAGGUCAUAGUGAUCCGGUGGUUCUGAAUGGAAGGGCCAUCGCUCAACGGAUAAAAGGUACUCCGGGGAUAACAGGCUGAUACCGCCCAAGAGUUCAUAUCGACGGCGGUGUUUGGCACCUCGAUGUCGGCUCAUCACAUCCUGGGGCUGAAGUAGGUCCCAAGGGUAUGGCUGUUCGCCAUUUAAAGUGGUACGCGAGCUGGGUUUAGAACGUCGUGAGACAGUUCGGUCCCUAUCUGCCGUGGGCGCUGGAGAAUUGAGGGGGGCUGCUCCUAGUACGAGAGGACCGGAGUGGACGCAUCACUGGUGUUCGGGUUGUCAUGCCAAUGGCACUGCCCGGUAGCUAAAUGCGGAAGAGAUAAGUGCUGAAAGCAUCUAAGCACGAAACUUGCCCCGAGAUGAGUUCUCCCUGAGACUUUAAGUCUCCUGAAGGAACGUUAAAGACGAUGACGUUGAUAGGCCGGGUGUGUAAGCGCAGCGAUGCGUUGAGCUAACCGGUACUAAUGAACCGUGAGGCUUAACCUUACAACGCCGAAG
rnacentral:rRNA from 1 species